GGGGAGUUUCAAGUGAAAAGAUGCUCUUUUCUCUAGUAAAGAGAAGAGAUGGAGAAGAAAGCAGUCAAGGGUAUAACUCCUACAACAUCCUGAGAAUAAUUACCCAUACAUGAUGCAACGUUUAGUGUCCAUAUCCACAAAGGUCUUUCGAAUUCCUUUCUCUGCUAAAUUGGACGCUACUUGACUCCUGAAUUGCUGAAUAAAAG